GAUGAAGAACGUAGUGAAAUGCGAUACGUAAUGUGAAUUACAGAAUUCAGUGAAUCAUCGAGUCUUUGAACGCACAUUGCGCCCUCUGGUAUUCCGGAGGGCAUGCCUGUCCGAGCGUCAUUGCUGCCCUCAAGCACGGCUUGUGUGUUGGGCUCCGUCCCCCGAUCCCGGGGGGCGGGCCCGAAAGGCAGCGGCGGCACCGCGUCCGGUCCUCGAGCGUAUGGGGCUUUGUCACCCGCUCUGUAGGCCCGGCCGGCGCUUGCCGAUCAACCAAAUUUUUAUCCAGGUUGACCUCGGAUCAGGUAGGGAUACCCGCUGAACUUAAGCAUAUCAAUAAGCGGAGGA
rnacentral:misc_RNA from 1 species